UGAGAGGUCCACACAGUUCUUAGGACACACCUGUCAUCUUUGAAAGCUGUGACUGGGCAAACAUAAAGACCUAAAGGGUCAAAGUGGGAAAACAGUUUCAGAAGCAUGUGUGGUAAUAUCACUCUUAUCCUUGUGUUUCUCUGCAAAGGAGUCACUGGGCUUAUGAGAUGGUAUAGGUCUCUGUCCAAAGCAUUUUGUGUUUAACGUGGUGCUCUGGCUAUGUGCCUCCCAGCUUCUUCAAUCAGAAAUCUACUUCUGUGCCAGCUCUCACCACCUUGUCUCCUCCUCCUUCAAAGAGCUCCUGUGGACUUGGAUAGAUGAAAGCAAUAUUGUGACGCGUGGACCUGGAAGAGGAUCCCAAGAGCACGAAAGCUCUGGAUGAAGCUGAGGGGCCCCCAAACAGUGAAAAAUGUG
ensembl:lncRNA